rnacentral:tRNA from 1 species
GUGUUAAUAGUAUAUAAAUUAUUACAUUAACUUUUCGUGUUAAAAAAAUGAACCAUUUAACACA